GACGAACGCUGGCGGCGUGCCUAAUACAUGCAAGUCGAACGCAUUUUCUUUCACCGUAGUUUGCUACACUGAAAGAAAAUGAGUGGCGAAAGGGGGAGUAACACGUGGGUAACCUGCCCAUCAGCGUGGGAUAACACUUGGAAAAAGCUGCUAAUACCGCAUAAUUCCAUUUACCGCAUGGUAAAUGGAUGAAAGGCGCUCUUGCGUCCCUGUUGGAUGGACUCGCGGUGCAUUAGCUAGUUCGUGGGGUAACGGCCUACCAAGGCUGAGAGUCAUAACCGACCUGAGAAGGGGAACGGCCACACUGGGACUGAGACACGGCCCAGACUCCUACGGGAGGCAGCAGUAGGGAAUCUUCGGCAAUGGGCGCAAGUCUGACCGAGCAACGCCGCGUGAGUGAAGAAGGUUUUCGGAUCGUAAAACUCUGUUGUUAGAGAAGGACAAGGAUGAGAGUGAAAAGUUCAUCCCUUGACGUUAUCUAACCAGAAAGCCACGGCUAACUACGUG
rnacentral:rRNA from 1 species